rnacentral:sRNA from 1 species
CCAAUUUAACAUCAAACUCAGAUGUUGAGCGUGAAGGAUAACGUUGCGUCAGCAACGGCCCGAAGGGCGAGGCGAAGCCGAGUCAUCCUGCACGACCCACCA